UACGAAGGGGGCUAGCGUUGCUCGGAAUCACUGGGCGUAAAGCGCACGUAGGCGGAUCUUUAAGUCAGGGGUGAAAUCCUGGAGCUCAACUCCAGAACUGCCUUUGAUACUGGGGAUCUCGAGUCCGGGAGAGGUGAGUGGAACUGCGAGUGUAGAGGUGAAAUUCGUAGAUAUUCGCAAGAACACCAGUGGCGAAGGCGGCUCACUGGCCCGGUACUGACGCUGAGGUGCGAAAGCGUG
rnacentral:rRNA from 1 species